rnacentral:snRNA from 1 species
UCACGCUUCGGCGCACAUAUACUAAAAUUGAUCGAUACAGAGAAGAUUAGCAUGGCCCCUGCGAAAGGAUGACACCAAUCCGUGAAGCGCUCCAUAUUUUC